rnacentral:rRNA from 1 species
CUCCUACGGGGGGCAGCAGUGGGGGAUAUUGCACAAUGGGGGGAACCCUGAUGCAGCGACGCCGCGUGGGCGAUGGAGUGCUUCGGCAUGUAAAGCCCUAUCAGCAGGGAAGAAAAUGACGGUACCUGACCAAGAAGCCCCGGCUAACUACGUGCCAGCAGCCGCGGUAAUACGUAGGGGGCAAGCGUUAUCCGGAAUUACUGGGUGUAAAGGGAGCGUAGACGGCUGUGCAAGCCUGGAGUGAAAGGCGGGGGCCCAACCCCCGGACUGCUCUGGAAACUGUAUGGCUGGAGUGCAGGAGAGGG